rnacentral:rRNA from 1 species
GUAUGGUGCAAAAUGCUCGGAUGAACUGUGGGUAGGGGUGAAAGGCCAAUCAAACCUGGUGAUAGCUGGUUCUCCCCGAAAUGUAUUUAGGUACAGCCUGUGAGUAGUCUAUAGGGGGUAGGGCACUGGAUGGGCUAGGGCCCCGCAGGGGGUACCAAACCCAACCAAACCUCGAAUACCUAUAGAUGGUCUCACGGAGUGAGACUGCGGGUGCUAAGAUUCGUAGUCGAGAGGGGAACAACCCAGACCGUCAGCUAAGGUCCCCAAGAGGCUGCUAAGUGGGAAAGGAUGUGGUGUUGCUGAGACAGCCAGGAGGUUGGCUUAGAAGCAGCCAUCCUUUAAAGAAAGCGUAAUAGCUCACUGGUCAAGCGACACUGCGCCGAAAAUUUAACGGGGCUCAAGCAGUCCACCGAAGCUACGGAUACGGAAGUCGGAUAUCGGAGGUCAGAGGUCAGAUGCAAAGGAAGAUAUAUGACUAUAGGGAUUUAGAAGUAUAUCAGAUGGCAUUUGAACUGGCAAUUAGGGUGCACAAUCUAACGAUGGAAUUUCCCAAGCAAGAGAAGUACGAGAUGGGGCAGCAGAUGCGUAAUGCGAGUAAGAGGAUAGCAAGUUGCAUAGCAGAAGGCUUUGGUAAAAAGGAGUCGGAGCGUGAAUUUAAGAGGUUUUUACAAAUAGCCCAUGGAUCAGCGCAAGAGGUAAAGGUUUGGUUAGAGUUUACGGAAGCGUUGAAGUAUGGAGGUGUGGAAGGAGUAAGGGAAUUAUGGGCGGAAUAUGAUAGGCUUGGGAAGCGGUUAUAUCGUUUAUGGCAGACAUGGAAGAGUUAUUAGGAUGGGAGAUAUGAAAAUCCGAUCUCCGAUUUCCGACAUCCGACUUCCGUAUGGUAGGGGAGCACUCUGCGGGCAGAGAAGGCAUACUGUGAGGUAUGUUGGAGCGUGCAGAGGGGAGUAUGCCGGCAUAAGUAGCGCAAAGGCUGAUGAGAAGUCAGCCCGCCGUAAGCCUAAGGUUUCCUGGGGAAGGCAAAUCCGCCCAGGGUAAGUCGGGACCUAAGGCGAGGCCGAGAGGCGUAGCCGAUGGACAGCAGGUUAAUAUUCCUGCACCACCUUGUAGUUGAUGAAGCCAGGGGUGACGCAGUAGGAUAGUCUGAGCCGGGCGAUGGUUGUCCCGGUCCAAGCGUUUAGGCUGUGAGUGGGUAGGCAAAUCCGCCUGCUCGGGUAAAGCUGAGGCGUGACGGGGAGGUCGUAAGAGACCGAACUCAGGUGAUUCCACACUGACGAGAAAACCCUCGGGUGGAGGCUACAGGGUGCCCGUACCGCAAACCGACACAGGUAGGCGGGUAGAAGAUACCAAGGCGUUCGAGAGAACCCUCGCUAAGGAACUCGGCAAAAUGACCCCGUAACUUCGGGAGAAGGGGUCCCGGAGCGGAGGUCGGACAUCGGAGGUCAGAAGUCGGAAAAGCAGCGGGCAGAGGUCUGAGAUUUUGGGGUCGGAAAAGGUAAUGAAUAUUAUUAUAAUCCGACAUCCGGGAUCGGGCUUCCUAUAUUUGUUAUCCGACAUCCGAUUUCCGACGUCCGACUUCCGUAUUCGGGCGCAGUAAAGAGGCCCAGGCGACUGUUUACCAAAAACACAGGUGUCUGCGAACUCGGAAGAGGAAGUAUAGGCACUGACGCCUGCCCGGUGCCGGA